rnacentral:rRNA from 1 species
UAACGGCGUCGAGCGGCGGACGGGUGAGUAAUGCCUAGGAAAUUGCCCUGAUGUGGGGGAUAACCAUUGGAAACGAUGGCUAAUACCGCAUAAUGCCUACGGGCCAAAGAGGGGGACCUUCGGGCCUCUCGCGUCAGGAUAUGCCUAGGUGGGAUUAGCUAGUUGGUGAGGUAAUGGCUCACCAAGGCGACGAUCCCUAGCUGGUCUGAGAGGAUGAUCAGCCACACUGGAACUGAGACACGGUCCAGACUCCUACGGGAGGCAGCAGUGGGGAAUAUUGCACAAUGGGCGCAAGCCUGAUGCAGCCAUGCCGCGUGUGUGAAGAAGGCCUUCGGGUUGUAAAGCACUUUCAGUCGUGAGGAAGGUGGUGUAGUUAAUAGCUGCAUUACUUGACGUUAGCGACAGAAGAAGCACCGGCUAACUCCGUGCCAGCAGCCGCGGUAAUACGGAGGGUGCGAGC